rnacentral:rRNA from 1 species
GACGAACGCUGGCGGCGUGCUUAACACAUGCAAGUCGAGCGGUAAGGCCCUUUCGGGGGUACGACGAGCGGCGAACGGGUGGAGUAACACGUGGGUGGACCUCGCCCUCCAGCUCUGGGAGUAAGACCUGGGAAACCGGGGUACGUAAUACCGGAUAUGACUCCAUGACGCAUGUUGUGGGGUGGAAAGCCUUGUGCGGCUGAGGA